rnacentral:rRNA from 1 species
AUGCAUCUCUAAACACGUGAAAGCGUGUGACCCUUCGGGGAAUUUGCACAGGUGCUGCAUGGCCGUCGUCAGCUCGUGUCGUGAGAUGUUGGGUUAAGUCCCGCAACGAGCGCAACCCUUGUGAUUAGUUGCCAGCACGUAAUGGUGGGAACUCUAGUCAGACUGCCCAGAUCAACUGGGAGGAAGGUGGGGACGACGUCAGGUCAGUAUGGCCCUUACGCCUUGGGCUGCACACGUACUACAAUGCCCAGCACAAUGAGAACCGAGACCGCGAGGUGGAGGAAAUCUGCAAAACUGGGCUCAGUUCGGAUUGGAGGCUGCAACUCGCCUCCAUGAAGUUGGAAUCGCUAGUAAUGGGGCAUCAUCUACGGCCCCGUGAAUACGUUCCCGGGUCUUGUACACACCGCCCGUCACAUCAUGGAAGCCGGUCGCACCCGAAGUGCUCGCACCAACCGCAAGGGGGUAGAGUCCUA